AGGGCAGGAAAUAAGAGACAGAUGCAUUGCCCUGAAGGAGAAGGCAAAUCUUUGUCUAAAGCAAGGUGGCUCUUCAUACCAAACCCUUGAGGACUUGAUUAGUUACAUCUCAUCCUUUUUCUUCCAGUUUCAAGCAACUUCUUCAUGAUUACUGGAGGGUCUUUUAUAAUUGUUGUAGCGUAUUAUAAGCUGGUCAUUAGCUAGAUUUUCUAUUUUUCCUCAAAUUGUGACUGUUCUGCACCCACAUGGGUUACCAAAAUAAACCACUAAAAUUGUGGAGUUUACAUGCACCGGAGAAAGGGCGUUUGCUAAUAUUUCCUGAUCAUGGAUUCAUGGUAUCAUUGCGAAGUAAACUAAUUUAAUGCACUGUUCCCAGUCAACAAAUUUUAGAAAACCAUAAAACUUACACGUGAGGGAAAAAUGUGGUAAAUGGCAAUCGAAAGCCCCAAACCAUAUUCUGUUUGCUAGACGCUAUCGUGUGAUCCCCCAGUAAACACAGUAUAAAAAACUCCACUUUUCAAAAAAUUAUAUAGCAUCGCAGUAACGAUUAAUCAAUAAGAGAAGCAAGUCAAAAAGCACUUUGGGAAACAGAUCAUUUUAGCCUCCUGUAUUUAUUGGAUUUUGUUUGUUCCAUUGAAGCCAGGGCCAAUUCGAACGCAGCAGAAACUGGUCCCAAUCCUCAUAAAUAAUAGGCACCGUUUGCACCAACCUCCAAUUAUGCCUCCAUAAUUGUCUACUCACUAGGCCAAGUUUUCUGGGAAGAUCUAGACAACUUCGAAACUGAGAGAACACCCAGCCAAGCACCAUGGAGAACUCAAGAGAAACCCAUCAACAGAAGAAGGGUUUCCGACUGGUACUGUUUCCACUGCCCCUACAAGGUCACCUAAACCCCAUGCUUCUUCUUGCAAAUAUUCUGCAUGCCAAAGGCUUCUCUAUCACCAUCAUCCACACCCACUUCAACUCUCCCAACCCUGCCAACUAUCCCCUCUUCACCUUCCAUUCAAUCCCGGACGGCUUGUCUAAAACCGAAGCCUCCACCGCAGAUGUCAUAGCUCUCCUCUCACUCCUCAACAUCAACUGCGUCGCGCCUUUCCGGGAUUGCUUGUCUCAGUUAUUAUCUAAUCCUUCAGAGGAGCCUAUCGCUUGCUUAAUCACAGACGCUGUAUGGCACUUCACCCAGGCUGUUGCCAACAGCCUUAAGCUCCCUAGGAUGGUGUUACGCACCAGUAGUGUCUCUUCAUUUCUUGCUGUUGCUGCCAUGCCAUAUCUGCAGAAAAGUGGGUACCUCCCCAUAAAAGGUGAGUUUCUAAUUGAGUAAUUCCAUGAAACCAUAAUUACAACCAUUCAACAGACACAAAUGUACACUGUUCUAUGCCCAUAGGCUUGAGCUGGUCUAAUCAUCAGUCAGUGAUCAUACACAUCAAGGGAUAAAUAUAUGUAUUCUGAUCCUCUAUGUUUGCUCCAUGGGGAAUUCAUAUGCAUUUUCCUUUUCUCUUCUCAGAUUCUCAACUAGAGUCAUCAGUGCCGGAGCUUCUUCCACUCAAAGUCAAGGACCUUCCAGUGAUCAACACUCGGAACCCAGAAGAUUUUUAUCAAUUAUUUGUUAGCGCGAUCAAAGAAACCAAGGCUUCUUCCGGGCUAAUCUGGAACUCCUUCGAGGAUCUUGAAGAAUCUGCACUUGUCAGACUUCACCAAGAUUUUCCUAUCCCAUUGUUCCCAGUAGGCCCAUUUCAGAAAUACUUCCCAACCUCUUCAAGUAGUUUACUAGCACAUGACCACAGUUCCAUUACCUGGCUAGACACACAAACACCUAAAUCUGUGAUCUAUGUGAGCUUUGGGAGUAUUGCGACAAUGGAUGAGAAUGAAUUUCUGGAGAUGGCUUGGGGGCUAGCCAACAGCAAUCAGCCCUUCUUGUGGGUGGUUCGACCAGGGUUAAUCCGUAGUUAUGAAUGGCUUGAAUCACUGCCAAACGGGUUCCUUGAGAUGAUAGGUGGAAGGGGACAUAUUGUGAAAUGGGCUCCUCAACAAGAAGUUCUUGCUCAUCCCGCCACGGGAGGGUUUUGGACUCAUAAUGGAUGGAAUUCCACGUUGGAGAGUAUUUGUGAAGGGGUUCCAAUGAUUUGUCUGCCUUAUUCUGGGGACCAAAGGGUGAACGCGAGGUAUGUGAGCCAAGUUUGGGGAGUUGGGUUGCAAUUAGAGAGUGGGUUGGAGAGAGGGGAGAUAGAGAGAACAAUCAGAAGACUUAUGGUGGAGGAAGAAGGGCAGGAAAUUAGACGUAGAAGCAUUGAGUUGAAGGAGAAGGCAGACUUGUGUCUAAAGCAAGGUGGUUCUUCACACCAAUCCCUCGAGAGCUUGAUUAGUUACCUCUCAUCUUUCAAGGGACUCCUUCAUAAUUAAGUUCUAGAUGGUCUUCUGUUAUUGUUAGGAAUUCUCCUGAGCGAGGUUUCCAAAUAGGCUGGUUCUGUUUCUCACAAACGAUCCGUUGUCUUGAUUACUUCUUUAAGAUUGUGCUUAAAUAUUAUUUCAUACUAUUACCACAUUGAUGAUCACUAUACUCCUACGUAAAAAAAAAAUUUAGAGGUGAUUUCUAGCAAUUCUCCGAUUAAUUACCCUCAGUUUCUAGUACCACUAUUUUAUAAUAACUGGAUACAAAUAUGUCAGAUUGAUGACUGCUUCUUAAGUUAUCCUUAAAUGUAUAAGAGCUCGUUUGAUAGUGAUUUUAGGAAAAACUUUUAAUAUUUGAAAUUUUUAUUAUUCAAGUAUUAAAAAUAUUAAAAACGUUUUAUAAAAUUACUCCCGAACGCGCUCUAAGUCAAAAUUGUUGUUGGGGUUGUUGGUUCCAUUUUAACUUUUUUAAAUUAUAUUGUCAAGUCAAGGAAGCGCACUAAAAUACUUGGAAAACCAUGUUUGGGCUCCUUCAUUUAUUGGAUUGUGUAUGUUCAUUCACAUGGGUUGUUGGUUCCAUUUUAACUUUUUUAAAUUAUAUUGUCAAGUCAAGGAAGCGCACUAAAAUACUUGGAAAACCAUGUUUGGGCUCUUUCAUUUAUUGGAUUGUGUCUGUUCAUUCACAUGGGUUGUUGGUUCCAUUUUAACUUUUUUAAAUUAUAUUGUCAAGUCAAGGAAGCGCACUAAAAUACUUGGAAAACCAUGUUUGGGCUCCUUCAUUUAUUGGAUUGUGUCUGUUCAUUCACAUGGGCUUAGAUCCAAGUUGUACAAAAAUUGGUUUAGUUGGAUUUGCAGUUUUCCACCUAACUUUCAAGAUAUUGAGUGAGAGAUAACACCAAAACUGAGCAGACAAUGCUCAGCUAAGCACCAUGGAGUGAUUAUUUCAUUGAACUAAUAUGUACAUACCACUUUCCUAUGAAUCUUGUCUCUCACAAUUUAACUUUAGAUGAACCCUAGGCAGCUGAAAGGAACUUCUAAUUCGAUUACUGGUGAAGCAAUAAAGUUGGAAGAAACAUACAAAUAAUUAUAAUCCAUAAAUACUCAUAUUUAACAAAAUAAAGACUCCUAAUAAUAAAACAUGGAAACCUUCUCGUACUCUAAUAUUUGAAUAUAGAAACUAAAUUAAUCAUUCAAAUAAAAAUGUUCUCUUUGAUUUUUAAAAACUAAAUCUAGUUCUAAUUUUAGAAACUUCCUAAAUCAAGUUUAACUUUCUAUCAUGCCCUGUAAACUUGAUUUGUAACUCCAAGCACCAAGCACCAUUCUUAACCAUUUAUAAUCUUCAAAUUUGAAACAUUUUGUAAAAAUAUCCACAAUUUGAUUAUGAGAAUUUGCAAAUUUUAAUUACACUUUCUUUUUCAUGAUGGACUCCUUGACAAAAUGAAAUUUUGUAUCAAUGUGAUUGCUUUGAUCAUGAAAAAUCAAUGACUUCUUACCCUCUUGUUACUUGUAACUCUUUGGUAUCAAAUUUGCUUUGCAUCUCCCUAUUUUUCCUUUUACGUUCUUCUUUGUUUCCAAUACUUAUUUUAAUUGUUUUUUUUUCCUUUUAGAAGGGAUUUUAGUUUCCAUGUGUCAUUCUUUCUCAUUGCUUUUAUUUCCAUAACAUUUUGUCAUGUCUUAUCUUAAAUUACUGCUUUAUAAUCUAUUGGUUCAUAAUUUGUAGAAAGAUAAAAGAGAAUUAAAUUAUUUUGAAUAUUAUAUGUUACCUUAUUAAUAUUUUCUUACUAUUUAACAUACUUUGAGCGAUGUCAAGAGUAGUUUCAUUUUUUUUUUUCUCUCUAUUAUACUAUUUAUUGUGGAGGAUAUGAAAUCGUUAAAGUCGACAAAUUUUAUAAGCUUUACAAUAUUUUUCAAAUUGGACCUUAUAUGUCUACAUGGAUGAAUUUAAUUUAGAGGCUUUUUUACUCUUGUAAUUAUUUCCUUUGGAAAAAUUUUUUGAGCAUGUUUUUCAAGUAAGGGUCCUUUACAUAAUUGAUCCAUAAAAAGUAAUUCUUUCACCAGUUUCUUCUCUGUUAGCAACUUCAAUAUUCUAAAACUAAGAUGUCUAAAUCUUAAGUGUCAAAUCCAAGAGGAAUAAUGGACAUAAGAUUUUAAACAUUUUACAACAACAAUUUCAAUGUACAACAAAAAACAUUCAAUUUCUUGUUAUGAGCAUAUUAACAAUUAAAUUGGCAUAUUAUUGACCUCGUACUGAGAGACUUUGAAUUUCAUAUGAAUAUCAUAACACUUUUCUACGAGUUGACCCAAACUUAAUAUAUUAUUUUUCAUGUUGAACACAUAAUAGAUGUUCAAAAUAAAUUAAUGUCUUUCAUUUUUCAAACAAAUUCAGAUUUUACCUUUGCCUUUUCAUCAAAACUCAUCCAAAUAUGACAUAACCAUUUUUGGAUUCCUCAAGUGCUUCAAAAAGAUAUUUUUAAUAUCUACAUAUGAUUGUUUAUUUCAAUGUCAAGAUACCAAGUGUUUUUUUCCUUACUUUUCUCACUUAUAUACCAACAAUAAAGUAGGUUGUUCUUGAUUUUGCUUUUCAUAAUAUAUAUAUAGACUAACAUUAAAUUUGAGAUUUAUUUAUCAUACAUGAUUAUAACUUAUAUAUUGUGUCAUCUUCCACAUCCUCAUGAAUAAUAUGAGUCUUAACUUGUUCCUUCAUUGUUUGAUGAAUUCAAAUCACUUCUUCUUCUAUAAUCUUGACCAUAACCAUGUAUACGACUAUGCCCAUGAUUAUUUUGACUUCUUUCAUUAUCAAAAUUUUCUUCAUUCUCCUUUAAUAUAAGUUUAAUUUGUUUAUAGAAUUUGCUCAAGUUUUUGUUAGUUCUCAUUUUUAAUCUUUUCAUGAACUUGCAAUGACAACAUAAGUUACUCAAUGGCCAUGAAAUCUAAAUCUUUAGAUUCUUCAAUGGCCACAACAACAUAAUCGAAUUUUGAAUAUGUAUAUGAAUAUGGAAGUAUUUUUUUCAAUAACAUGAAUGUCAUUUAAACUUUCAUUGUGUCUUUUAAAUAGAAGAUUGUUUCAUUCUUUUACAUUCAAACUUUGAAAUUUCAUUUUUAUAUGCUUUGUAAUAUCUCACAAGCUUCUUUUAAGGUGGUUGUAUUUGAAAUCUUCUCAAAAGUACAUUCAUCCAUUAUUUAAUAGAUGGUGGGAAAAGGUUUCUUGUCUUUCCUUAUGUCUUUUAAAAAAGCCUUUUGAUUUAGGAAUAAAGUUGUUUUGACUCUUAUAACCUUUUUGUUACAUGUGUAAAAUUCCCACACAAGUUUUCGUGUCUAUGUAGCGCUUUGAAGCUCUCGAAGCUAACAACUUUUCCCUACAAGAUGACAACAACAUACAAGAUCCACAUGAGGUUUACAAGGCACCAACCCCAACUUGUAUUUUAUUAACUUACUAAAUAAGAAUACAAGACUUUAGCCAGACUCCCACAAUAACUUCAGUGAGUUGAGGCUUCUCUCAUGAUCUUCCUUUUUAGAUCUCUGUUAUGAGGCUCUUUGUAGUCUUUAUUUAAAGAGUGGCUUUACCCACUCUUUGUUAGACUAAGAUUACACAUCUUAGUUCUAAUGGGACUCUUACUGAUAGGUUGUGGCACUAACCACUCCUACAAGGGCUCAAAGUCCCACUUUUACUUAGACUACAAUUAUAAUAGGCAUUAAGACUCCCACUCAUGCUUAAUUUGUAAUCCCACUUUGAGUCCAACUCUUUGUGCUACUACCACGUACAUCUAUAUAUAUGGUUCAUGUAUACGCCAGAACCUCUUUUGGUAUACAUAUCUAGAUUGCAUUCGUAUCGAGGCAACAUGUUCUUGCAUCCGUCUUGUUGUUGCUACAACUCCAUACCUUGUCUAAGUUCUAUUCUUAGUGCAACAACAUGUCAUGACAUUGUGCUCAUGACUCUCCAUGCACAAGGCAUUGCGCCCUUAUGUAUUGAAUCUGAGUUGGCAUCGCUACUUCGUAUCGAUAUGCCUAUCUAUGUCUUUCUUAGUGUUGCACUUGCCAUGACAUUGCACCCAUGGCUCACCAAGUCGUCUUCCUUUACAAGACGUUGUGCCCUUGUACAACUUUGUUGUUGUCAUAGGUUACUCAUGAGGCUAAGGUGCUGCCUUAUGAGACCUUAGUGUUGCAUGGUCCAUAUCAAGGGGCUAACAAACCACCUUCACCUAAUGCAGUUGACGUUCUCAUCGACAUGGACUAUAGUUAGGCCUAUACUUUCUUUUUAAACUGCCAUAAUGUCAUAUCUCAUUCCCAACUUGCUGAUGAUUUAGGAUUGACUUUCCACUGAACUAGAUAAUCAACAUUUCAAUUUUUCUUGCUCAUUCCCAUAAUUCGAUGAUUCAAUAUUUCCUCUACCUCAUGAUGAAACUAUUUUUUGAUCAUAGGUGGAGCUCGUCUCACCUAUAUUUUUCUUGGGUCUAGGUCCUCAUGAUAAGGUUUUAAAAAGCUUACAUGGAUUAUGAGGUGUAUCUUUAACCUAUUAGGCAACUUUAAUUUGUAAGCUACAUAUCCUACCUUUUGCAUCACCUCAAAAAGUUUGUCAUAUUUGGGAACUAACCCCUUUGCACAGUCUUGCUACUAACAUUUUUCCAUAUCUAAGGGGUUAAUAUGAAAUUCCAAGGGUCUUUCGCCUUUGCGUUUGCAUACUUUUUCAUCCUUCUUGUGACUUUCUAUAAGCUCUCACAAGCUUCAUCGAGCAUCUCCUACCUAGACCUUGCAAAUUUGUAUUUUGUAGGACAACUACCACAAGACUUUGGCUUAGCCACAUCCAAGUGCAUAAUUGGCUAUUGCUCUGUGGCCAACUCGAAAUGACUCAAUCAUGUUGUCGAACUCUUCUACAAGUUAUAGGAUAACUGAGUUAUCUUCAUUAUAUCAACCCGGUUCUUUUAUGUUGUAGAAAGAUAGCGUUUGGGGUACUCUUCAAGUAAAAUGUUGAUAUGCUUUGUUUGGCGUCUGUUUGCAGAUAAUUUGUAGUUGAAAACUUCAACUCUAAACCGAGGAGUUUGAAUAUUUUGGUCUAAAACUAGCUAGUGAAUCAGACAUCACGAUCACUUACUAUGUCUUUAAGCAACCUGAAGUACUUGACCACAUGGUUGAAAAAUAGCCUAGUUGUCUCUUUUGCGAGACAUGCAUGUGGUGUAGGCAUGAAGACAACAUAUUUAGAGAAUCUAUCAAUUUAUUAUAAUAAAAAUAGAUUUGAAUUCCCCCACAUUUGGAAAGCCACCAAUGAAGUCUAUUGAUAUGCUUUCCUAAGGUCUCUCUAGGAUAGGGAAAUGUUGCAACAUUAACCCCACUACUUUCUUCUUCUCUGUCUUGUCUAAGCGACAUGCUAAAUAAGAACGGGCAUAUGCUUGGACAUCCUCUCUCAUUUCCGACAAGUAAUAGGACUUGGACAAUAGUGUUGGUGUCCUUUCUUUAAUAAGGUGACUUGUCCACUUGGCCUCAUGGGUCUUUUUUAACAACUUCUUACCUAAGCACUUCCUAGUACAUAUAGUUUGCUUCAUUUAACCACUAAGAGGUCAUCUUCUAGUUAUAUUUUCUUGUUGUCCCAUCUCUGACUUGUUAUUUCAUUUUCUCAUAAGUAGAAUCAAGCUUAGUAGCCUACUUGAUGCUUUCAUUAAAAUCUAAGAUCACAUGUGAUAAAACAGUUACAUACUUUGUCACCCUCUUCUGGCUUAAGGCAUCUACAACUACAUUAUGUCUUCUUGGUUGAUGCAACCAAUCAAACUUGAAGUUGGUCAGGAAUUCUUGCCAUCUAGCUUGCUUAAGGCUCAACUUUUUCUAAGUCUUGAAGAAGGUAUUAGUCGCAUUGUUUGUGACUAUAGUAAAUAUACUCCCAAAUAGAUAAUGUUUCCAUUGCUGCAAGCAAUGGAUAAUUACUGUCAUCUCUUUCGCGUGAGUGAAGUAUCUUUGCUUUGCCUCAUUGAGCUUCUGACUCUCAAAGGCUAUUGGGUGUCUUUCUUACAUUAGGACUUUUCCUAAGGCCUUGGCUGAUACAUCUAUCCGGACCUUAAAAAACAAAUCCAAAUUCAGUAGAUGUAGCACCGACUCAGUUGAAAUAACCACUUUCAACUUUUCAAAAUCUUUAUGGCAUACCAAGCUCCAAUUCUAGAGGAUAUCAUUCUUUAAAAGGUUAGUUAGGGGAGCUACUAUCUUGGAAUAACCUUUUAUGUUCAAUAGUAGUUUGGCAGUUCCAAGAAGGAUCUUAAUUUUGUCACCUUACUUAGAGCAUGCCAAUCUCUGAUGACUUGGACCUUUGCUUUAUCCAUCUUAAUCAAACCUUCCCUUAUCUUGUACCUUAGAAAGGUAAUAUGUUUUUGUGCAAACUCAUAUUUCUCCUUUUUCACAUAAAGUUUGUGUUCUCUUAAUCUUUAGAAUAGUAGUUUCAGGUGAUGCACUUGGUUUUCUUAUUCUCUCUAAGUGCAAAUUCCCACAUAAGUUUUCGCGUCUAUGUGAUGCUUAGAAGCUCUCUAAGCUAGUUUACACCUUUCCCCAUGAGAUGGUAACAACACACAAGGCACACAUGAGGUUUAUAGGUCACCAAUCUUAACUUGUAUUUUAUUAGCUUACUAAAUAAGAAUACAAGACUUUAGCAGCUUCCCUCAUGAUCUCCAUCUCUAGAUCUUUAUUAGGAGGGUCUUUGUCCUCAUUUUUUAUAAAGUGAUGCCACACACUCCUUGUUAAACUAGGAUUACACAUCCUAGUUCUAUUGAGACUCUUAUUGAUAGGUUGUGACAUCAACCAAUCCUAUUAUGACUCAAAGUCCUAGUCCUACUUAGACUACAAUUACAAUAGGCAUUAGGACUCCUACUCAUGCUUGACUUGCAAUCCCACUUCAAGUCCAACUCGUCGUAUUGCUGCCACAUGCAUCUAUAUAUAUGGCUCAUGUGUGUGUCAAACCCUCUUUUGGCCUGCACAUUCAAAUUGCAUUCAUGUCACGACAACAUGCUUUUGCAUCCAUAUUGUUGUUGUGGCAACUCUAUGCCUUACCCAAGCUUUUUUCUUGAUGCAGCAACAUGUCAUGACAUUGUAUCCAUGAUUCCUCGCGCAACAAGGCAUUGUGCCUUUGUGUAUUGCAUUUAAGUCAACAUGCUCCACAUUGAUGCCUCAUUCGAGUCUCUCUUGGUGCUCCACUUGGCAUGAUAUUUCACCUAUGGCUCACCAAAUUGUCUCAUUGCACUAGGCAUUGUGCCCUUAUAUAUGCCACCUUGUUGAUGUCAUAGGUUACUCAUGAGGCUAAGGUGCUAUCCCAUGAGACAUUAGUGCCACAUGGUCUAUGUCAAGGGGUUAACACUUUCCAAACAAGACAUUUAUCCUUAUACUCAAAUUAUCGUAAUUAUUUUUAUUGAAUUUGAGGAGUUCAAAUGAAUACCUCCUAUUUUUCAUUUUUUUUUUGUAAUAAUAGAGAAGAAUUUAAAAUUUAUUGUUUUCAUUUUCUUAUUCAUAGAUUAUAUAAUUUUUUAUUUUUAAAUACUCAUAUCUAAUAAAAUAUAAACUCAUAAUAAUAAAAAUAUAGGAAUUCCCAACAAUAAAAUAUAAAAACUUUUUACAAGUCAAUUACUUAUAUAUAAAAACUAAAUCCAAUUGUUUAAAAUAAAAUAUUUUCUUUUAACUUUUAGAAGUUAAAUCUAAUUCUAGUUUUCAAAAAUUCUCAAUCAAGUUUACUUUCCAAUAAUUACUUAAAUUAAAUGCCACAUAAAAACCAGAUAAAAGACUUUCACAAAUCUAAACAGGAAAAAAAAAAUAUAAAAAAACAAACUUGCAUCCAAACCAACUAUGGUCCUCUUAAUUAUCAUAUCCUGCUCUCUGGGGUCCUUUUAAUUAUAAUAUAUGCUCUCACAACGUGUUGAAAAAAGAAAAAAAAGAAAAAGAAAGGGAGAGACAUGAAGGAAAUAUUCCCAGAAAAAUGUCAAAAGAGAGGUAGAAAACUAUCCCAAGCACCCAAGCAAGAAAAAUACGUACGGGCUAUUUUAUUUUCUCACCAUGUUGAAAAGUUUUAAAAAUAGAAGGGAAAGUUAAGGUUUUGGGCUGGUGAUGUGAAAAAUAUAUGAUUUUAAAAACACAAGUAUAUAAAAUAUGAGAUUCAAUAUGAGAUUCAAUUAUUAAUAGGUAAAAUAAUAUCCAAAAUGUGCACUAUCUCCUAUUUACUUUUCUUCUUCCUGUAUUACCCCUAAAUUUCUCUGUGUCAUGAGCAAAUUUUCCCCAUGUCAGCAGAACAAUUUCAAACUUUGAACUCAUUCUCAAAGUUGAAACAUAAAGAAACCCAAACUGAGAACCAAAAGUAGGGAAUCUUUCUUCUGGUCAUUUUGCCCUAACCCCCAUAUCAGGAAAUUCCCAAUUUCUAAAUUUCUCGUCUUCUUCCCACAAGCCCCUUGUUGAAUUUGCUUGCUACCUUUUCAUGUCGCGACAUUUCGGCCGAAAAUAUCGAAAGCAAGACAACCCUUUCCUUUGGAACGUGAUUAUCAAAUCUUUCUCAUAUUUCAGAUACGUGGGUUUUCAAAACCAUAUAUGUUCCAGCCUAUAAAUACAACUUUUCCUUUUUAAUACGCUUGCUUCACUUGCUCCAAUUUUAAAGUGCCCAAAAAAAAUUUCACUUGCGUAAUUUCCUCAUGAAAAUGUCUUCCAUCGGAACUUCAAAGGGAAUCCUGGAAAUCGGAAAGUUCGCUCUCUAUGUCUCAAUCCCGAUUGGUCUGAUGUAUACUUUGGCAAACAAUUCCGAGAAUAUGAAGAAGCUCAUCCAGAAGGUUAUUCUCUUUCCUCAGCGGUGCUAUGAAAUUGGUGUGUUCUGGUUAUUGAAUCCAUGAUUACAUGACACUUGGGGAUUUUUUGAAGUACAAGAGAAGAAAAUGGACCAUUCUGAAGCAUUUUCUUUUUCUUUCAUCCGAAUGGUCCUUAGUUUGUGGAGAUAUUCUCGAUAGGGAUGAACUAGUUUUUCUUUAGAAGAUUGAAUCGAGAUUUAUUACGUUUUUGUGGUUUGGAAAAUCCUUAUUAAUAAUUUAUUUAUUUUUGUUUUUUGUUUUUUAUUUUUUUAUUUUGUUUAGUUAGUAGUAUAAAAACAUAGAAAACAUAACUUUGAAAACAUAAACAACAAUGCCAAAUGCCUUUUUCAGUAUUUUUUUUUUAAAUAGAAAAUAAUUAUUGAAAGCACUUCCUAAAUAUCCUCUAACUAUAAGUUAUUUUCAAUAAUUUUUUUUAUAAAAAAUAUAGAAAACUUUAAAAAAUAUAAAAAACAAAUAAAAUUGAGUAUGAUAUCAUUCUUUCACUCUCUUCACGAUCCAUUACUAAAGAAAAAAAAAAAAUUCUUCAUAUAUGAUAUUGCUUUGAAUUACCUAUUUUUAAAUUUUUUUUCUAACUUUAAAAUUUUUCAUUAAGCAAAUAAUUUUAAAAUCAAACUAUACUUGAUACGUAAAAUUUAUUAAUUUUUAAAAAUAAUUUGAAACUCAAAAAUCGAUUUAAUUAGUACUAAAAAAUCAUGAAACUUAAUAACAUUAGAAAGUCAUGAACUCAAUUUGAAUGACUUAAUUGGCUAGUUUCUUCUUUACAUGUAAUCAUAUUUUUACAAUUUUUUCACAAAGAAAAUAAAUUCUAAAUAAAACAACACCAAAUAUAUUGGAUUCAUUACAAGUUUAGUAAUUUUUAAAAAUAACUUGAAACUCAAUGAUCCAAUUAAAACUAUAAAUUUGUGAAUAAAAAUCGAUUUAGAAUGACUUGAUUGUUUCUCUUCUCCAUAGAAUCAUUUUUUAAAUAUUUUUUUAUUAGACAAAUAAACUCUAAAUUAAAUAAGACUUAAUGCAUUACAUGUGUUAAUUAACAAGUUUAGUAAUUUUUAAAAAUAAUUUGAAACUUAAAUAGUGAUCUAAUAAAUACCAAAAUUUAUGAACAAAUAUUGAUCUACAAUGACUCUGUUAUUUAUUUAUUUUACAUAUAAUUAUAUUUUUAUAAAUUUUCUCAAUAGAUAAAUGAACUUCAAAUCUAGUGAUAUUUUGUAUUGAAUUAUUAACCGUGUUUAAUGAUUUUUAAAAAUAAUUUAGAACUCAAAAACUAUAUAGAUUACUAAAAAAAAUCAAAAUUGAUAAAUUAGAAGUCAUGACUUUAUUGUUUGUUCUUCACACACAACUAUAUUUUUUGAAUUUUGUUACAAAGUAAAUAGAUUUGAAAUUAAGACAUAGUUAAGAAUUUAAAUUUUUAAGGACAUAAGAUAAAAGAAUACAUAGUUUGACACUGAUAUAGAAAAAAUCCAAAAGAAAAAUCAUAUAGUAAACAAAAAAACAACCCUCAAUUAUGCUACCUAUCAAUUAUGCAAUUUAUAUGGAUCAAAACUUAAUUUUUAGGGUCAGUUGGGUCCAAAACACAAUUGUUCUAUUAAGAUAUUUGUAAUCUGGGCUUGGAUUUAUGGAAUAUGGUCAUGGGCUGACUACUUUAGGCCCAUGUGUACUGCUAUCCAAAGGGAUGAGUCUCAUGAAUGUUGCAGCUGUUCCGCGUCUUUCCAGAGAUUUCUAGCAACACAAUAUCGCGAGUAUUCCGAUAUUAGUACUCGCGUAAACAUUUAUAUCCAGUCUCUUUAGAUACUUCUCUAUCUUCUUGAAGCAUCUAGAAUCCACUACACAAUUUGACGAAAUUACCCUCGUCUGCACCUAUAAAUAUCUGAAUCUGAACUUUCUUUCAACCAGUACCAUAGCAACAGGUGUUGAUUUCUCAUAACGCAAAUCCAAUGUUCCAAUUCCGUCACUCUCCCUUGCGACAAACUUUCAGAUAAUGUCUCUAAUUCCAAGCUUCUUCAGCGGUCGACGGAACAACAUGUUCGACUUGUGGGAUCCGUUCCAAGACUUCCCAUUCACCGGCGGUGCUCUAUCGGUUCCCGGAGAAACGGCGUCGUUCGCGAACACUCGCAUUGAUUGGAAGGAGACCCCGGAGGCCCACGUCUUCAAGGCCGAUCUUCCUGGGGUAAAGAAAGAGGAAGUGAAGGUAGAGGUUGAGGAAGGGAGGAUUUUGCAGAUCAGUGGAGAUAGGAGUGUUGAGAAGGAGGAGAAGAAUGACAAGUGGCACCGAGUGGAGCGCAGCAGCGGCCAGUUCAUGAGGCGGUUCAGGUUGCCGGAGAAUGUGAAGGUGGAGGAGGUGAAGGCUGCCAUGGAGAAUGGUGUUCUUACUGUUACUGUUCCGAAGGCAGAGGUCAAGAAACCCGAUGUCAAGGCUAUCGAUAUUUCUGGUUGAGAAUUACGUACAUGAACUUAUAUGAUUAAAGCUUAAUUUUUGAGCUCAAUUUUAUCCCUGUCUUAAAAUGCAUCAUAAAAGGAAGAGCAUGCUUUGAGGGCUUUUUGUAGAAAAUAAUGAACAAUGCAGUCCCAACUUUUCCUGUUGCUCGGCUGUACUCAUUUUAAAAAUAAUUACUUUUACGUACCUUCAAAUAAUAACUUAGAGGUUAAUUUAAGGUUUAAGAUUAAAUUUUACUUUUUGCUGCUAAAACAAAAUUAUUUUAUAAAAAGUGAUAAAUUAAAAAUAUAAAAAAUUAUAAAAUGUUGAACUAAUUUGGAGCUCAUUUGACUGUGUGAUUAAAAAUUAUUUUUUAUUUUUAAAAAUAGAAAAUUGUCUUUAAAAAUUCAUUAUAUUGUUUAAUUGUUAUGUUUUAUUUUACGAUUUUUAAAAACAAAGUGAAAUAGAAUAUAAUUUUUAAAAAAUGAAAUCCUGUGUUUUUUAAAACAGUUUUAAAAAAUAUUUUUUAAUAAUAGUUUUUGUUGUUUCUAGUAAUAAAAUUAUGUUUCGAACUAAAUUCCAAAAAACAAUUUUUUGGUCUAAAAGAAAAAAUGUUUGAUUGAAAUAGUAAAAAAUAAUUUAAUUAACAAGUAUUUUUGUAACUUUCUUUAAUCAACUUAAUGUUGUAAAAAUAACUAAUUUUUAGAUAAAAAAUUUGUAGAUUUUCAUAAUUUUAAAAUUAAAAAAAUUGUAUCCAUCCUUAAAUAUAAAAAUUGGUUUUUUCUUUUAACUUUUUGCACUAUCCUCCCUUCACCCCCUAAUUUUUUUUCUUUCUUUUAUACACUUUCUUCUUUCCUCUCUUAAAAUCUCUCUUAUGAUAUCUCUUUCCCUCUUUUUUUCUAAUUACCUUGGUUUCCUCCCCUGGUUCUCCUCUUCCCCUUUCUCUUCUCUUCAUCUCAAUUUCCCUCACUUCUUUCUCUCUCUUUCUUUCUCUCUUUCCCAUAUAUUUUCUCAUUUAAAAAUCACCCAUAAUCAUACCCUACAUCAUAUUCACCUCCGUUACCUCAUUUAUGUUCAAAUUGCAACGUCACUAGCAUCACCCACGACCACUAUUGUUGCCAAUUUAUUUUUUUUUGGACAAAGAAAUAGGAUUUUUUUUAAAACAUUUUUCUAGAUAGUAAAUUGGGAUUGGUGUGUAACAACGUGCUCUCAACCGUGUAGAUGUUAUUCGCUUUGGACCCAAGGAGCCAUCACGACUUUAAAACACGUCUUGAAAGUUAAGAAGAAUUUAUACUUAUAUAGUGUUAGGAACUUUCCCCCUAUCCGAUGUAAGAUGUCAUAAACACUCCUUAUGCAAACACAACAUUCUCGUUGUGUUCCACAAGAUUGCGAUAUCAAAUAAACAAACACCUUUUAUGGGGCCAAACAAACCCCCACAUCGGGGUCGAGGAUCAGUUUUGAUACAAUUUAUAACGAUCCGCUCUCAACCAUGUAGAUAUUGUUUGCUCUGGACCUAAGGAGUCCUCACAAAUUUAAAACACGUUUUCAAAAUUAAGAGGAGUUCAUACUUAUAUAAUAUCAACAUUUGUAACUAUCCACACCCAAUCAUGUAAAUAUUGUUCGCUUUUGGCCCAAAGAGGCCUCAUAGCUUUAAAACGUGUUUGCAAGGUUAAGAAUAACCCAUAUAUAGUGAAAAAAUAAAGGCUAAUCUUAAUUAGAAAAACACCCCAUAAAGGAAAAUGGUAAAUUGAAUUUUAAAAAUUCUUUUUCAAAUACAAUAAAUUCAAGAAAAAAACACAAAUAUAAAGAAAAUAAUGUUAGAGAGAGCAAACUCGGAUUUUAUAGUGGCCUACAUCCACUCAUUGAUGAAAAUGUCGAUAAUCACAAAUAUAUCAAUACUUCAAUUUUACGGAUAUAUCGAUGGAUAUUUUGAAAAAAAAUUUCGAUAGUCUAGAAUUGAUUAAAACUUAUGAAAAUAUUGAAAAAAAACUGUAAAAAUGAUAUAAUAAACAAUAAUAGACAUUUUAAAGUUGUUAUAUAAAAAAAUAAUAAUGUAUGUAUAUGAUAUAAUUAAUCAUAUUUGAUAAUAAUAGUGCAUGUGUACAUAAAAAAAUAUAAAUUUGAUCAAUUUAUUAAAUUACAUCAAAUGUUAUUCAAUGAUAAUAUUGUGAUAUUUGAUUAUAAUAUAUCUCAGUUUAAAAUUAUAAUUUAUUUAAUUUCAACUGUAUUAAAUGAUAUAAAAUAAAUGACGAUAUAUGCAUAAUUUUUUUUAAUAUUUAUAUUUUUUUAUAUUUAAUUAAUAUAUAAAUGAUAUAAAAAACUGUUAAGAAAAUUAUAAUGAUAUGUUUUAUAUUUUUAGUGAUUAAUGAAAUGAAAUUUAAAAAUAAAAUAAUUAGAAUUAAUUUGUUUAUUAAAAUAUUUUUUAAUAUUUUUUUUAUGCUAGUUUUACUAUAUAUUUAUCUUGUGCCUAUUAUUUAUCAAGUGGGCAAGUUAGCUCAGUGGCCUUACCAAGAUAAGACUGAAAAAUCGUUGAAACAAGCCGAAAUUUUCCAAAAAAUGGCCUCAUCGAUUUUUUGCAUGCUUGUUUCAAUAGGCUUUAUAUUUUUAGUGAUUAAUUAAAUGAAAUUUAAAAAUAAAAUAAUUAGAAUUAAUUUGUUUAUUAAAAUAUUUUUUAAUAUUUUUUUAUGCUAGUUUUACUAUAUAUUUAUCUUGUGUCUAUUAUUUAUCAAGUGGGCAAGUUAGCUCAAUAGCCUUACCAAGAUAAGACUCUAUUUGUUUUGGGUUUGGGUGGGGUUCAAGUCCCACCUCAUGCACAAUUUCACAUUUUUUGAGGCUUUGACUGUGCGUUAACUGAUUUGACUGCGCAUUAAUUGAAGUGAAAAAUUAGUAAAAAUCCAAUUUUUUUUUAAUGAAAAAUCGCUGAAACAAGCCAAAAUUUUCCAAAAAAUGGCCUCAUUGAUUUUUUGCAUGCUUGUUUCAUGUUGUUGGUCAUCAAUUCACAAAAUUUCGGUGAAAUUUUUCAAAAUUUUCAUCUGUGUCCACUCUUCUUAAACUCUUAAUCGAGUGAGGGUUCCACUAUACCUAAAGUUUCAACUAAGCUUCCAAUACCUUUACACUUGGAUUUCGGUUCUAAUGGGCUCUUACACAAUCCCUUCAAGUUUAUACUCACUUGAAACUUCUAACUCUCACAAAACACUCAAAGUACAGAUUUAAACUUCUCGACCUAGUUCAACAAAUGCUCAAAUACAACUCAAAUGCUAAGAAGAAUGACAGGGGUGCACUAAAGAAUAUGCAAGUGAGGAUUUAAUGCACCAAGAAAAGUAUGUGAGCUUUUAGGUGAAGAACUAAUAGGUAAAACGAUUGAAUGUAGGUGUUCUUGUGCUCAUAAAUGAAAUGGAGCUCUCAAUUUAUAGGUUAUAGCCUUAGGAGCCAAAAUGUCAAAAAGUAACCUUAACCGAUCAAGUUGGGGGUCGAUUGGUUGACUAGUCGUUGGGUAAUAAAUGCAUGACAUGUGACCGUUAGGCCUCGAUCGAGCCUCGAUCGAAACUCGAUCGAGCCUCGAUCGAAACUCGAUCGAAACUCAAUCAAGCCUUGACCGCAAUUCAAUAAAGCCUUGACCGUAACUUAGCCGGACCUCGACCAGGAAGACAUAACCAUCGACCAAGAAUGCAAGGCUAUUGGAAGAGAGAGAAAAUAUUUUUUGCAUCUCUCGAUCGACCCUCGACCGGGAAGGCAUAACCGGUUGACAGGUACCUUAAUUGAUUGAUCCAGUUGACCAGUCCCUUGACUGGUUCACAUUUUUUGCCUAAAAACCUAUAUUUUUCUAUUCCUUUCACUUCUAACACUUAGGAAAAGUCUUUAGGUCAAUGAAUAUGUCAAAUUUGAAAUGAUUUACUUAAGGUUCAUUUGUUAAAACUCGAGUUUUAAUGGAAUUUUAACUUUAAUGCAUAAACCGAGUUUUUAAAUAUGCAUGAAAAGAUACGAAAAUCCUAAGUGCACCCAUGCAUUCAUCUUAUGGAUGUUUCAUAAGAUUAAAAGGUCUUUUGUAUGCGUCGAUCUUGCUUCCAUUGGUCAUUUGAUGAAUUUCUUGGAUGUUCUUUUGAAUUUCCAAACUAAAACAUGAAAUUCUUUUUAAUUCAAACAAAUUAGCAACUUAACCAUGAGUUGUUAUCAUCAAAACAUGAUUAGGAGAACCCUUGGGUUAACAUAUAUCACUAGUAACUUCCUCUCUUAUCCGAUGUGGGAUAUCACAAACACUCCCCAUGCAUACACAACGUCCUCGUUGUGUUCUAUGGGAUUGUAAGGCCAAACAGACAAACACACUUAUAAGGUGAAACAAACCCCCACACCAGGGUUGAGGAUUAACCUUGAUACCAUUUGUAAUGAUUCACAUUCAACUUUGUAGAUAUUUAUAAUGACCCACUUCCAACCCUGUAAAUAUUAUUCGCUUAGGGUUCAAAGAGGCUUUUAUGACUUUAAAACGCGUCUACGUGGUUAAAAGAAUCCUCUAUAUAUAUUAUGCCAUGAACUUUCCCCUUUAUUUGAUGUGAGGUUAAAUGGAUAUGCAGUUUGUUUCAAUUUGUUUUAUGAUGCAUUUCUUGAGGGUUUGUUCUCUAUGUAUUUUUUGUGUUCUCCAUAUUGUUUUUGAUGAUUUUUUUUUGUUUAAUUAAUAGUAUAAAUAACAUAGAAAACAACUUUAGAUUGUUCUUAAUAUGAGAAUAUAGAGAAUAACUUUGAAAACAUGAAGAACAAUGCCAAAUGCCUUUUUCAGUGUUUUUUGUUUUAUAAAAUAAAAAACAAUUUUUGGAAGCACUUUCAAAACAUCCCCUAAGAAUGAGUUAUUUCCAAAAAAUUUUAAAAUAAAAUAAAAAUAUAGAGAAAUUAAAAAAGAACAAAUAAAAUUGAUUAUGAUAUCAUUCUUCUCUUCUCUCCAUGAUCCAAUACCAAUAUAAAAAAAAUCUUCAAAUAUGAUAUUAUUUGGAAUUAGUCGAAUUUAAUUUUUUUUAACUUCUCUAAAAAUUUUCAUUAAACAAAUAAAUUUUAAAUCAAACUAUACUUGAUACAUAAAAUUUAUUAAUUUUUAAAAAUAAUUUAAAACUCAAAAACCGAUUUAAUUAAUACUCCAAAGUCAUGAAACUCAGUAACAUUAGAAAGUCAUGGACUAAAACUCAAUUUGAAUGACUUAAUUAGCUAGUUUCUUCUUUGCAUGUAAUCAUAUUUUGCAAAAUUUCACUAGGAAAAUAAACUUCAAAUGAAGCAACAUUUAAUAUAUUGGAUUCAUUAAUAAGUUUAAUAAUUUUUAAAAAUAACUUGAAACUCAAAUAAUGACCCAAUUAAAACCAGAAAUUUAUAGAUAAAAAUUGAUUUAGAAUGACUUGAUUGUUUCACUUCUCCCUAGAAUCAUUUUUUUAAAUAUUUUUUAUUAGACAAAUAAACUCCAAAUAAAAUAAGACUUAAUGCAUUAAAUGUAUUAAUUGACAAGUUAAGUAAUUUUAAAAAUAAUUUGAAACUUAAAUGGUGAUCCAAUAAAUACCAGAAUUUAUGGAUAAACAUUGAUUUACAAUAAAUACCAGAUUCUAUUAUUUUUGAGUUUUUCUUAAUAUUUUUAUGAUAUUUUUUUAUCAACUUUCAUUCAUUGAUAUUUUUUGUUAAAAUAUCUAUUGAUAUUUUUAUCCGAUAUAUUGGUAAAAUCUAAAUAUCGAUAUAUUCAUAAUUAUCGAUAUUUUCAUAAUUGAUAUUAAUAUCUAUAUUUCACUAAAAACUAUUUAUUUUUUAAUUUACUUGUAAUUACACAAAUAUUUUCAUUUUUAUAAGAAUUGAAUUGAAUUAAAUUAAUAUUAUAUAAAUUGAAUUUACAAUAUUUUAUAAUAUAAAAAAUAAUUUUAUAAAACAACUUAUCCAAGAUUUUUAUUUUUUAAAAUAUGUUUUUAAAAACAACUAACCAAACACACUUAAAUUUAUAAAAUACUAAAAAACUGUUUUUGUUCUUUCUUUAAAACAAAUAGAAUAAAAAAAAUGAUGAAAUAGACCCUGUUUAUUUAUUUAUUUAUUUUGACACACUUCUUCUUAUGUGUUUUUGAAAUAAAAAAAAAAAAUUGAUAGUCACUUCUAUAUAAAAUAAAAAAACUCUUUAGGUCUUAUUUUAGAAAAAUAAUAACUUCUAAAAAUGAUUUAAAAUAAUAGAGAUAUUAAGGUAAGUUUAUAUAUAUACUUUUUAUAUUAAAGUUACUAUAUUUUAUAUAAAAGUUAUCAUUAUUUAUUUUUUUUAAAUAUAGAGUGAGAAAUAUAUCGAAAUGAACACUUAGCGGUAAUUUCAAUAUAUUUCUUAUUUUUUAUUUUUAUAAAUAAAAAAUAAUAAUAACUUCUAGGAGAAGUUUGAAAAAUUACAAAUUAGCAAGUAGAAGAGGAUUAAUAUUACAUCCAUCCCCAUUGACAAAUGAAUGAUUUACCCAUUCACUAGGGUUUCUUUUUAAUAGAAUAUAUAUAACCAGUCAUGAAACAAAUCACCGGUUUUGCUUGGUGGGCUGGGAAUGCCGAUCUUAUCGAUUUAUCUGGUAAAUUAUAAUGAUUUUAAAAUUGAUUAUAAAGAGUUUUAGUAUCCCAAAUUUAAAAUUUUAGAAUUAUUGAAAAAGGGUUUUAAGUACAGAAGAUAAGGAAUGCAUAGCUUGACACUGACAUAGCCGAAAUCCAAACGAAAAACCAUACAGUAAACAAAAAACAACCCUCAAAACUCACGGCCACUCCGGCUGUCUCAUCAUUCUUGUAUAAAUUUAAGUGCAUGUACGUAAUUCUCAACCAGAAAUAUCGAUGGCCUUGACAUCGGGUUUGUUGACCUCUGCCUUGGGAACAGUAACAGUAAGAACACCAUUCUCCAUGGCAGCCUUCACCUCCUCCACCUUCACAUUCUCCGGCAACCUGAACCGCCUCAUGAACUGGCCGCUGCUGCGCUCCACUCGGUGCCACUUGUCAUUCUUCUCCUCCUUCUCAACACUCCUAUCUCCACUGAUCUGCAAAAUCCUCCCUUCCUCAACCUCUACCUUCACUUCCUCUUUCUUUACCCCAGGAAGAUCGGCCUUGAAGACGUGGGCCUCCGGUGUCUCCUUCCAAUCAAUGCGAGUGUUCGCGAACGACGCCGUUUCUCCGGGAACCGAUAGAGCCCCGCCGAUGAAUGGGAAGUCCUGGAAUGGAUCCCACAGGUCGAACAUGUUGUUCCGUCGACCGCCGAAGAAGCUUGGAAUUAAAGACAUUUUCUGAAAGUUUGUCGCAGGAGAGAGUGACGGAACUGGAAUAUUGGAUUUGCGUUCUGAGAUAUCAACACCUGUUGCUAUGGUACUGGUUGAAGAAAGUUCAGAUUCAGAUAUUUAUAGGUGCAGAUGAGGGUAAUUUCGUCAAAUUGUGUAGUGGAUUCUAGAUGCUUCAAGAAGAUAGAGAAGUAUCUAAAGAGACUGGAUAUAGUGCAAUGUUGUCGCGAGUGCAAAUAUCGGAAUACUCGCGACACGGUGUGCUCGAAAUCUCUGGAAAACGCGGGACAGCUACAAAAUCCAUCCUUUCGGAUGGCAGUACACAUGGGCCUAAAGUGGUUAGCCCAUAUCCAUAUUCCGCAAAUCCAAGCCCAGGUUAUAAAUAUCUUAAAAUGCAUGGUAAAAGGGAAGAGUAUGCUUUGACGACUUUAUGUGAAAAUAAUUAACAAUGCAGGCCCCGCUUUCAUCUUCCACCUUAUUUAAAAAGAUAGCCUUACGUGAUCCAUCAUAGGUCAUGUUUAGUAUGCAUCACAUAUAUUAGGACACUUAGCAUGAGAAAUUUAUCAAGACAAUGACAAAUCAUUUAUCUAAUUAGAAGAUAAUGCACUACAACUUUUAUUGGAUUACUCAAAUUUAUGAACUAAUUGUGAACAAUUUAUUUACUUACAAAGAACCUAUGACUUAUAUCAUUUGUGUAAUUUCAAAUGUAUUUAAGUGAUGUACAAUAUAAGAUAUAUGAGCUGAGUGUUUAAAUCAAUAUCAAUGUAUAAAAAGGAUAACAAAGGAACAGUCAAGUCUAACUUUGUUAUAUCAUGUCUUGCUUUUUUAAUCCCAACAUAGACAAUAAUUACCAAUUUAUCACAUGUCUCAUUGAAUAACUCAAUUAUGAAUUUCCAAUUAAAGAUCUUGUGUCACGCCCCAAAACCCGCUUCAAGGGCAUGAUGAUCAUUUCACACUUCAAGCCUAAAGGCUUAGAGUGGAAACAACACAAACAAUCAUAUUACAACUGGAAAUUUACUAAUCACCAAAUUCCUGUUCAGAGUAGUAGAACAAAAAUUCUAAAAUCUCCAAAUAACAAUUUUUGAAACUAACACAUCAAACCAAGUGUUAUUGUACUAAUAACUUCAAACUCAAAUAAUUCCAAUGUAAAAUAAAUUUUAACAUCUAACAAUGCUCAAAAUAAAGGGAGUUUUGACAAAAGUCCUAACAAGCCAAUUUCCCUUCCUAAUUGUAACUCCUCACCCGAACUAAGGGUACCUGAAAAUUAUCUAUAAAGGGGAAUGAACUCAAAACCCAAUAAAGAAUAUUAAUACAACUUCAUGGAUCAAAUAGUUUCAAUCAUGCUUACAAAUAGGAGAUUUAGUGUAAAAUCAUUUUCAUAAGAACGUUUGAGUACAAAUAUGCUAAUACAUUUUAAGGUGUUUAACCAAACAUUUUCCUAUAUAUCACAGUCAUUUCAUAUCCAUUUCAAAUAAAAUACAUUUCAAUUGUUUUCACUUUGGUUAUCAAAUAACAAAUAGUGCCGAAUUAAGUGGGACUUUACAAAUAGGUGGUUAGCCUCAAAUAUUCAUUUUAAGGUGGACGAAAUCAAACACUACUAAUACUAAUAACCUCUAACCAAACCCCUAGAGGAUAAGGUCCAAAUCAAUUACAUUUCUUACCACAAAAAUGUAAAUGUCAACUAUUAUAUUCCAUUGACAAGGGUUAAAAAGUCAACUAUUAUAUCUUAUUAACAAGGGUCAACAAACCAGAGUCAAAUUCUUUAUUUUACUUAAUCCAAUGUACGAAAGCAGAAAAUCCCCAAGUAUUUCGAUAUAAACAAAAUAAAUGUUAUAAGAUAUUUUUCCAUACAAAAAUAUAUUUGAUCCAUGCUUAAAAGCAAAAUUAACAAUUACACAUUUCAAACCACACACACACACCUCAAAAGAAGUCCUCAAAAACCUACUUUUCACCUAACAAAAUAUAAGAGAAAUAAUCAUUACUAUUUAUAUAAAAUUAUAUGUUUAACAAUUCUAAAAUUUUAGGUAUUCAAAUUAAUGUUUUUAAUUAUGAAAGAUAAUUUAAUCUAUUCCUAUUUUAGAAAAAUUAAUAAAUUUCUAAUUCAUAUAAAACUUAAAUUAUAUUUUCAAUUUAUUUAUUUACUUUUUGGGACACAACAUAAUUUAAUUAAACUACAAUUUUUUUCGCUAAUUAAAUUGUUUGCUACUUAUUAACUUAAUAUUUAUAAUUAAUCUAAUUAUAAUACUAUAAAUUUAACUAAUUAAUUUGUACUUCACCUCGUUAAUUAUACAUAGUUAUUUAUACCACUUUCUUAUUUUUUCAAACACAACUACCAUAACAAUCAUACACUCCAUGUACAAAGCAUGCCUCAUUAUUAUUAUCACUUUCAUCAUUCUUCUAUCUUCCGGUUUCCACAUGCAUGCAACUUUUUUUUUUCCAUCGUUCUUCUAUCUUCCAAUUUUCACACGCAUGCAAUAUAUGUAUAUAUAUAUUUUCCAUUGUGACAUAGUUUCAAAACCUAUUUAUUAUUAUUACACACUAUUAGAAAUCAUCCCAUACAUUGAAAUCUUAUAAUUUUUUUUCCACUCCCACAUAUUAUCAUAUAUUUAUUUACUCAUUUAAUUUUUGAAAUUUCAUUGCUUAGAUAUAUUCAUCUAAAAAAAAUUUGAAUUUCCUUAUUUUCAUCAAUAGAAUAACCUAUAUUUCUAAUUUCAAUAUUUUGACCUAAAAGUUUUAAAAUAAAUCAAUCAUAGCCUAAAUCGAAAUUUUCCAAAGAAUUUUUUUUUUCCAUCUAAAAACUUAAGGUUUUCUAAUUUCAAACAAUAAAUCAAAAUCUUAAAUUUUCAAUAUUUUGAUAUUAAAACGAAUUAAAAAAAAACUAACCUUAAUUUAAAUUAAAUUUUUUUCAAAGAAUAACUAGAGUGUUCAGAACUAACUAACGAAUAUAAUAUAUUAAUUUAGGGUUAGAAUCUUACUUGGAAAAAAAAAUAUGAAUUUCAAACUCUGAACCUUUAACCCUUGAGUCCUGCAAUCUCCAAUUCUCUAAUUCUAGUUGAUAGGGUUUUUUGAAUGAAGAAGGCAACAUGAAAAUCUAAUUUAUACCUAGGAUUUUUAAUUGUAAAAGAACUCUUUCACCUUUAAUGAAUUUAAUUAAUUACUUAAUUACUUUAUAAAUUACUAUUUUGCCCCUAUAUUAAAUUUGGGGUGUUACAUCUUGACCUUUUACAUUAUUUUCUUGGAAUGGAGAUUAAAUAUUUUGAUAAAAGAACAUUUCUUUCUCAACAAAAAAUAUAUGCAUGAUCUACUUUCAAGAACUAAAAUGCUUUACAAUAAUCCCAUUGCUACACCUCCAGUUCUUGCAAACAAGCCUUCUUUUUUAGACAAUGUCUUAACCGAUGCUAUUGCUUUCCAAAGUGUUGUCAGAACCCUUCAACUUUCAUGUGGUUGGAUAUUAUUCAUACAAUUAAUUGGGUAUGUCAAUAUUUUUAUAACUUUGUUAUAACUCACUUGAAGGUUGUAAAGUGCAUCUUAAGAUACCUUAAGGGAACCCAAUACUUUGGCUUACGUUAUCUUUCCAUCAAUCUAAUAUCUCUUUAUAGGUUUAGUGAUGCCGAUUAGGUAGGUCGUCCCAUUAUAAGGAGCACCAUCGGUUAUUGUGUAUUUAUUAGAGUGACUUGCAUCUUUUGGUGUUCAAAGAAACAACCAAUAGUUGCUAGCUUGAGUAUCGAGGCAUAAAAUCGCUCUUUGGUCUUUUUCACUAUGGAGUUAACUUGGAUUACUUAUUUGCUAUGAGAUAUUAUCAUAUCCAUCUCUAAACUACUACAAUUAUUUUGCACCAAUGUUAGUCUCUUUACUGGUACAUUAACUUUAUGUUUCAUGUUUGUUCUAAAUAUAUUAAGCUUAAUAAUCAUUUUGUGUGAGAUAAAGUUGUUAUGAACAUUUUUAUGUUUCCACACAUUCUUAACUUGCGGAUAUUAUUACCAAAUCUUUAUCACAUGAUGUCUUUAUUAUGUUUUGUGACAAGCUAAACAUCCAUAUUCAUUCAUACUCUAAUUUGAGGGGCAUGCUAAACGAUUUAGGAUAAGAACACACACAAAAAUGUAAGAGCACUCUCAUUAAUAUUUUCAUAAAUAUAAAAAAAUCAAAUAUUGAUAAUAUUUGAUUUUUACAAUACUUGAUUCUCCUAAUUUUAGGAUAUUUUCCUAUAUGUAUUUUUGUUAGGAAUAUGUUUUAUUUCUUUCAUCGUAUACUCAUCUAUAUUUUUGGACGGAAGAAAUAGAAAUUAUAACUUCCAUUAUCAAAAUACACCAAGCUUUACAUUCUAAUGAUUGGAAGUAUUUUUAAUUUAAUUUAACUUUUUUAUUUUUUAAAUAGGUAUUUGUCAGUUUUUUAAAAAUCAAUAUAAAAUUUUUCAUAAAAUACACCAAGCUUUACAAUCUAAUGACUGGAAGUGUUUUUAAUUAUUUAUUUAAUUUAAUUUAACUUUUUUAUUUUUUAAAUAGGUAUUUGUCAGUUUUUUAAAAAUCAAUAUAAAAAAUUUGAAAAUUUACUUGAAAUGAUUUUGACAAUUACUUGAUAAGUGAUUAUUGAUAUAUCAAUAAAAAAUAAUAUCAAAAUAUUUUUUAUUUUAUAUUAAAUAAUAAGGAUUCAUUUGAAUACAUUUCUUUAUUGAUUUAAAUUUUAUUUUCUAUUUUUUCUUUCUUUAUCUAUAUAACAUUUAUAAUUAUUUAUUUUUUAUUAUUAAGGAAUAGUUGACUGGUACAUAGUUUGACACUGACAUAGCCCAAAAUUCAAAAGAAAAAUCAUACAGUAGGGCAAAACCCUCAACACCCUCGGCCGCUUACAUCAUUCAUUUAUAAGUUUAUGUGAAUGUAAUUCUCAACCAGAAAUAUCGAUGGCCUUGACAUCAGGUUUCUGGACCUCAGCCUUGGGAACAGUAACUGUAAGAACACCAUUCUCCAUGGCAGCCUUCACCUCAUCCACCUUCACAUUCUCCGGCAAUCUGAACCGCCGCAUGAACUUGCCGCUGCUGCGCUCCACUCGGUGCCACUUGUCAUUCUUCUCCUCCUUCUCAACACUCCUAUCUCCACUGAUCUGCAGAAUCCUCCCUUCCUCAACCUCCACCUUCACUUCCUCUUUCUUUACCCCUGGAAGAUCGGCCUUGAAGACGUGGGCUUCCGGGGUCUCCUUCCAAUCAAUGCGAGUGCUCGCAAACGACGCCGUUUCUCCGGGAACCGAUAGAGCACCGCUGGUGAAUGGGAAGUCUUGGAAUGGAUCCCACAGGUCGAACGUGUUGUUCCGUCGACCGCCGAAGAAGCUUGGAAUUAGAGACAUUUUCUGAAAGUUUGUCGCAAGAGAGAGUGACGGAAUUGGAAUAUUGAAUUGCGUAAUAAGAAAUCAACACCUGUUGCUAUGGUACUGGUUGAAGAAAGUUCAGACUAAGUAAGAUAUUUAUAGUGGCAGACGAGGGUAGUUUCGUCAAAUUGUGUAGUGCAUUCCGGAUGCUUCAAGAAGAUAGAGAAGUAUCUAGAGAGACCGGAUAUAACGCAAUGAUGUCGCGAGUACAAAUAUCGGAAUACUCUGGUGUUGCUCGAAAUCUCUGGAAAACGCGGGACAGCUGCAACAAUCAUCUUUCGGUGAUCGUACACAUGGGCCUAAACUAGUCAGCCCAGGUCCAAAUUCCAUAAAUCCAAGCCCAAAUUGUAAAUAUUUUUAAAUAGCCCUUCUAAAAGGAAAAAGUAUGCAUUCAGGUCUUUUUGUGAAAAUAAUUAAUAAUGCUGGACAACUUAUUUGAAAAACGACACCUCUUACGAACCAUCAAAUAGUUACUUAAGAGGUUAAUUUAAAGUUUAAAAUAAAAUUUUACUUUUUUUUGGCUAUCAUAAAAUUAUUCUAUAAAUAGUGGUGAUAAAUUAAAAAAAUUAAAUAAUUUUAAAGACAACUUAAGUGUUAAAGUAAUUUAGAGCCUCUGUAGUAUAUGAGUAAAAACAAUUUUUUGAUGUUAAAAAUGGGAAGUUAUUUUUUAAAAAUUCAAAACAUUGGACGACUAAUAUUCUACAUUUUCAUAUUAUAAAGCAAAGUAAAAUAGAUAAUAAUUUUUAAUAAAUAAAUAAAUGAUGUUUUCACUUGUUUUUUAAAAUAUAGAAAAAUAAAAGAAAAUCAUAAAAAGAAACAAAUAAAAUUGAAUAUGAUAUUCUUCCUCUUUUCAUUUCAUAAUCCAAUACCAUUAUAAAAAAUCUUUAAAUAUAAUAUUAUUUUGAAUUACGAAUUUUAAUUUUUUUUAACUUCUCUAAAAUCUUUCAUCAAGGAAAUUAAUUUCUAAAUCAAACUAUACUUGAUUUGUUAAUUCAUUUUAAAUUACUUGACUAGUUUUUUUUUUUUCAUAUAAUUAUAUUUUUAUAGAUUUUUUUCACAAGAAAAUAAAUUCCAAAUCAAGCAAUACUUAAUGCUUUAGUAAUUUUUAAAGAUAGAACGAAACUCAAAUAGUGAUAAAACUAAUGCUUUUAUGGACAAAAAUUGAAUUAGAGUAAAUUAUUUAUUGUUUUUCUUCUUCAUAAAAUCAAGAUGUUAUAGAAUAAUGUAACCGUAGUUAAGUAAAAUGUGUGAAUAUAAUAAAAAACUUGGUUCAUUUAUAUUUUAAAAAUUUUAUUUUGUUUUAGAUUUAUUUUAAAUAAAAUAUUAUUAAAAAUUAUUAUCCUUCAUUUUUAAUAUCCAUAUUUUUCUAACAUAUACUAAAAUAGUAUUUUUUUAAAAAUAAUAUAAUUUAUGACUUAUUAUAAUAUUGCUAUUCAUAUUUUAAUAAAAAAUAUUUAUUUUUAAAUUUAUUUGUAAUUACAAAACUAUUUUCAUUUUUAAUAAGCCCCGAAUUAAAUUUAAUUAAUGUUAUAUAAAUUUGUUAGCCCAAGGGUUCUCCUAAUUAUGUUUUGAUGAUAACAAACCAUAGUUAGGUUACUAAUUGGUUUAAAUUAUAAAGAAUUUCAGGUAUUAAUUUGGAAAUUCAUCAAAGGACUUAAUGGAUGCAAGAUUAAGACUUUUGAAAGACCUUUUAAUUAUAGGAAACAUAUGUAAGAUGAAUGCAUGGAUGUACUUAGGAUUUUCAUAUUAUUUCAUGCAUCUUUGAAAAUUCGGUUUAUACAUUAAAGUUACAUUUUCAUCAAAAUCCGAGUUCUAUUAAAUGAACUUUAGGCAAAACGUUUCAAAAUUAACCUAUUAUUUUACCUAAACACCUUUGUCUAAGUGCUAGAAGCAAAAAGAUAAGAAAAAAGAUAGGUUUUCUGGCCAAAAAUGGUGAACCGAUCGAGACAUUGGCUAAUCGGUUAGGGUACUGGUUGACCGGUUACUCUUUCCCGGUCGAGGUUCGAUUGAGAGAUGAAAAAAACUUUCUCUCUCUUCCAGUAGCCUUUCUUUCUCGGUCGAGGGAUUUGUCUUCCUGGUCAAGGUCCGGUCGAGGGUAACGGUCACUUGUCAAGCAUUUAAUACUCCAACAACUAGUAAACCGAUCGACCCCCAGCUCAACCGGUCAAUGCUACUUUUUGAUUUUUUGGCUCCCGAUGUUAGAAAUCUAUAAAUUGAGAGUUUCAAUUCAUUUAUGUGUAAGAGAACACCUGCAUUUAUCUGUUUACCUACUUGUUCUUGCCAUAAAAGCUCUCAUUAUUUUCUUAGUGUAUUAAAUCUCUAUUUGCAUAUUCUUUAGUUCACCUUUGUGAUUCAUCCUAACCUUUAGUUGUAUUUGAGUCAUUGUUGAGUUAGGUUGAAAGAUUCAAACUUGUUAAUUGAGUAUUAAAACCUUCAAAUGAAUAGAGACUUGAAGAGAUUGUGUAAGAGGCCAUUAGAGUCGGAAUUCAAGUAUAAAAAAUGAUUAAAAGCUUAGUUGAAGUUUCAAGUAUAAGUGGAACCCUUAUUCGGUUAAUAGUUUGAGGAGAAUGGAUGUAGGCAAGAAAGUGUCAAACCAUUAUAAAUCUGAGUUUGCUUUCUGUAACCUUAUCUAUUUAUAUUUGUACUUUUUGUGCUUAAUUUUAUUAUAUUUAAUUUUUUUUUAAAACUCUAAUUCACCCCUCCUUUCUCGGGUGUAUUUAUCUACUUAGAUUAGUCCUUUAUUUUUCUCAAAAUUGAAUUUAUAAUAUUUUAUAAAAUCAAAAUAAAUAAUUAUUUUUAAAAACAACUUAUCUAAAUAAGUUUUUAUUUUUUAUUUUUUGAAAAAUGUUUUUAAAAGCAAGUAGCUAAACACCCUUAUUUUCAUGCUCUUUUUUUAUUAUUUUAUGCUUUUUAUUUUUAUUUUUCUUCCUUUAUCAUUUUAAAAAAAUAUUUUCUUUUGUCGCUUUCACACUAUGUACCUUAUUUUACAAAUAAUCUCUCCCACAUAUCUUCAAAUAGUUACUUAGGCAUGUUAAUUUUUUUGCUUUUUAACUUACGUCUUAAAGCAAGUUGAUUUAAUACUUAAGAUAGAAUUAAAAAAAGAUUUAUAUUUUUUAUUAAACAAAAUUGUCUUAAAAAAAGUGAUAAAUUAAAAAUAAACAAUUUUAAAUGUGACUUAAAUCUUAGAUAAAGAAAAAAGUAAUUGGAUAUUUAACAUUAUUAAGUUAAAGAAAGAAAGAAAAAAAAAAGAAAUUUGACAUCUAAGUCUUUAUUCUAAAAUCGUUUUUUUUUACUUGCUUUAUAAAUUCUUUUAGUAUAUUAUGAGAAAUGUUAAGGACAAUUACUAUGAGUGUAAGGAAAAUCGGAAAAAUUGUUAAACUGAUUUAAAUCAAUCAAAAUUGAUCAUAAUGGUCCGAUUUUCAAUAAUUAAAAAGUUCAGUUUGGUUUUAGAAUUUUGAAAAUUGAUCUUGUAGGUUCAAUUCUCCAUUUUCUUGUCUCUUAACUAAUAAAAACGGAACUAAAUUGAUAUUCUAAAAUUUAUAUAUAAUUAUUUAACAUUUGAUAAGUUUUUUAAUAUUAAAUUCUACUAAAGUAAUUAAUUGCUUCUUAACAUCAAAUUCAACUUGGUUUCAAUUAAUUUUAAAAACAAAUUAGACUUAGAGCUUAAUAUAAACUCAAAUUAAUAGGUUUUAGGUUCAAAUUAAAUGCAAAUCUACAACUGAAUUUAGGACUAAAAAACCCAUUAAAUUAAGUCAAAAUUGAUCUAUGGAAAUCGAACCAAAUUGAUCUUAGAAGAUUUGAGUUAGUUUGAUUUUUCACUCUAAAUCUGAUUGGUUCGGUUUUUAUGACAUAUAAAACCUAUUAUAUAGAUUUGGUUCAUUUUUUACUCAAAAAUUGACCAAAUUAAUUUUAUUUAUACCCCUUUUAAUUACCUUUUUUUUCUUUACCUUUAUUUUUUAAAAUAAAAAUAAAAAUGAACUUCCUUAUCAUUCUUAUUUCCUUGUUAAUUUUUAUUCUUCUCUCAUGUGACAUAUCACACACCAUUGUCGUCUUUUUUUGUUUUUUUUUUCUUACUCUUUCUCUAUCUAGUUUUGAUUUCUUAUUCUCUCUUUCCAUCUAUUUUUAGUUAAAUAAAAAUCGAUGAGGUGGUAUUGUUGCUCACUAUUUUUUUUCUUUUAUGUUUUAGUUAAAAAAAUUGAAAAAAUGAAGAGGAAGAGAAGAAAACGAAGAAAGAAUGAAAGAGAAGAAAAAAAUUAAAAAGAAACAAAGAAGAAAAAAGGAACAAAAAACUAGAAAUACCCAUAAGAGUUUUGGAUGAGAUAAGAAGGAAGGGGAGGGUAUUUUUACCUUUUUCAUACUUAAAUUUUAUUAGAAUAUAUAUAUAUAUAUAUAUAUAUAUAUAUAUAUAUAUAUAUAUAUAUAUAUAUAAUGGUGAUGACUGUGAAGGUAUUCUUCCUCCAAUAAGAAGAUCCAAGUAAUCAUCAGCCUUAUGUCCUUCUACCAACAAGAGUAUUAUCAGCCAAGCAUUUUCAACACCAAAAACAGUAAGCAUGUGACAACACAGUCCAAAGUAGCUUGUUAGCCUUCUUUUCAACCGAAAGAAAGAUUCUCGAUGAAAAUGUCAAAAGUGCUACAGUAUCAUCUUUUACUGUUCACUAUUCACUAUUCAUGCACAAGAUUACUAUUCAUAUCAGUUAGUAAAAAAGAAAACAGUGCUUUGUCCCAUCUUUUUGGCUAUUUAAGGAGGUUUGAUCCUCAUUUGUAAGCAUCCUUUAAUUUUUCAUUUUUCUCUCCCAAGCUUAUGCUCUCCCUUCUCUUUUCUUUCUCUCUCAAUAUGUAAGUCUUCCAAGCCCCAAGCUUUCUUCAAAGCUUUCCUCCCUUCUCCUAUUGUAAGAUAUUCAUCUCCUUAUGUAUCUAUAUUUUAUGUUAUACCUCCUAUGAUGGAUGAUUUUUAAGCUAUGUAAAUUUUCAAGUUUGUUUUAUGUUUUCUGUUUACCUCCUAUCAUGGAUGAUUUUAAAUUUAUGUAAUUAAAAGUUUGUGGUUCAUUCUCUUUAAAUUUCUUAUUAUUUAUCUUGUGUAAUUUCUAACUUCUCUUUUUUGUUUUGAAUUUUGACAUAAUUCCUGUUUUCAUUGCAUAUGAUAUUGUCCAGGGUGUCUAUGGUAUCAAAACAAAGAAGAGGAGUUAGAAAAUACACAAGAUAAAUAAUAAGAAAUUUAAAGAAAAGGAACCACAAACUUUUAAUUACAUAAAUUUAAAACCAUCCAUGAUAGGAGGUAAACAAAAAACAUAAAACAAACUUGAAAAUUUACAUAACUUAAAAACCAUCCAUCAUAGGAGGUAUAAUAUAAAACAUAGAUACAUAAAAAGAUGAAUAUCUUACAAUGGGAGAAUGGAGGAAAACUUUGAAGAAAACUUGAGGCUUGAAAGGUUUAUAUGUUGAGAGAGAAAGAAGAGAGAAGGGAGAGCAUAAGGUCGGAAGGGAGAGCAUAAGAAGGAGGAUAUAUAUAUUAUUCUACUUUUCAUAAUAAAUUUCUCUCACUCUCAUCUUUAUAUUAUAUAUAUUUUAUUUUACAAAUAGUCCAUCUAGAGAUUAUUUAUUUUCUAAUUUAAGUCUUAAACUAAGUUGCUUUAAGAUUUAACAUACAAGUGAAAAAAAGUUAUUGUUUCUAUUAAGAUCAAAUUUUCUUAGAAAAAGUUAUAAGUUAAAAAACAAAACAUUUUAAACAUGACUUAAAUGUUAGAACAACUUGUUUUAAGACUUAAGUAAAAAAGAAAUAAAAAUUUAAUAUUUAAUACUAUUAAUUCAAAUUAAAUAAAAUUAAAAUUUAUUUAUAUUUAAUAUAAAAAAAAUGCCUAACUUAUUCUUUAUUUCAAAAUUGACCUUCUCUCUUACUUUAUCAACACUCCUACCAUAUCAUGAAAAAUUAUGAAAACUCACAUCUUUUGUCUUUUCACUUUUCACCCUUAGUUUUUUUCAAAUAAAAAUAAAAGUUAAAAGGGCAAUUUUAUUAUUUUCUUAUUGUAUUCUCGCAACGCACCAAAAUGCGAGCUCUUUUUAUUCCGAUCCCCGAUGCUUAAUCACAUGUCACUGUUUUUGGUCGGUCGUGUCUAUUCAUGGGCGUAUUUGACUGAGUGGCCAAGCACUCACCCAGAGCUCAAUGGAGAACUCAAGAGGAACCCGGUUGCAACAAAGCAAAGGUCGCCGACUGGUCCUUUUUCCGCUCCCCUUGAAGGGUCACCUCAACCCCAUGCUUGAGCUUGCAAACAUUCUUCACUCCAAAGGCUUCUCCAUCACCAUCAUCCACACUCACUUCAACGCCCCCAACUCCGAUGACUACCCCCACUUCACUUUUCACCCAAUCUCCGAUGGGUUGUCAGAAGGUGAAGCUUCCACCGGAGAUAUUCUACAUCUUCUCUUGUUACUUACUGUCAACUGCGUGGAGCCGUUUAGGGACUGCUUGGCUCGGUUGCUAUCGAAUGUUUCGGAGGAGCCGGUUGCUUGCUUGGUCGCAGAUGCUAUAUGGCACUUCAGUCGACUCGUUGCGGACAGCCUUAAGCUGCCAACGAUUGUGUUGCGAACCAGCAGUGCCUCCUCCUUUCUUGUUUUUGGUGCCUUUCCACUUCUACGGGAAAAGGGUUACCUCCCUAUACAAGGUAUGUGAGUUUUAGUUAGGAUUAAUCUUCUUGUCUCUGUGUGCGAUUUGCGUUUGUCCAAAACAACAUCUGAUCUCUACGGUUUGGCUGCUGAGAAGAGGUGAGAAAAAUAAAAGAUAGGAUUCAUUUUUUUGAGCUGAGAACAGAACGUCUGCUUUAAAGAGACCUUUUCAUUUCUUAGCAAGAGCGCUUGAAGGUAUAAAAAAGAACUUCUGAUUUAGGGCCUGUUUGGAAAACCGUACGUUUUCUAGCCUGAUUGGAAAAAAGUUUCGAACUUCGAAAAUUGGUUUGUAAAAUUUUAACAGGAAUAUAUAGAAGUAAAAAAAAGAACAAAAGAGAAACUUUACCCUUUCCUGUUCCAUUGCACUUUCUCCUCUUCUUUUCUUUAACUUUUUUUAUUUUUUAUUUUUUUGAUAUCUCAGAUUCUAGGCUAGAAGAGCCACUGCAAGAGUUUCCUCCCCUCAGAAUCAAAGAUAUUCCAGCGAUCAAUACAUGCGAGCUGGAAGCUUUUUAUCAACUAGUGGCAGCAAUGGUCAAUGAAAGUAAGGCCUCCUCGGGGAUCAUUUGGAAUUCCUUUGAAGACCUUGAACAAUCUGCACUAGCCACAAUCCACCAAGACUUUCAUAUCCCUAUCUUCCCUAUAGGCCCAUUUCAUAAAUAUUCACCAACUUCAACUACCUUAUCAAUCCAAGACCAUAGCUCUAUUGCUUGGCUAGACACACAAGCACCCAAUUCUGUGGUCUAUGUGAGCUUUGGGAGCAUUGCAGGAUUGGAUGAAACUGAUUUUAUAGAGAUGGCUUGGGGACUAGCCAACAGUAAACAACCCUUCUUAUGGGUGGUUCGACCUGGGUUCAUCCGUGGCUCAGAAUGGCUUGAACCACUGCCAAGUGGGUUCCUAGAGACCAUUGGUGGAAGGGGACACAUUGUGAAAUGGGCUCCUCAACAUGAAGUUCUGGCUCAUCCUGCUGUUGGAGCAUUUUGUACUCAUAGUGGCUGGAAUUCCACGUUGGAGAGUAUUAGUGAGGGAGUCCCUAUGAUUUGUUUGCCUUGUUUUUCUGACCAAAAAGUAAAUGCGCGGUAUGUAAGCCAAGUUUGGAGAGUUGGGGUGCAAUUGGAGAAUGGCCUGAAAAGAGGGGAAAUAGAAGGGGCAAUCAGAAGACUAAUGGUGGAGAAAUCAGGGCAGGAAAUAAGAGACAGAUGCAUUUCCCUGAAGGAGAAGGCAAAUCUUUGUCUAAAGCAAGGUGGUUCUUCAUACCAAGCCCUUGAGGACUUGAUUAGUUACAUCUCAUCCUUUUUCUUCCAGUUUGAAGCAACUUCUUCAUGAUUACUGGAUGGUCUUUUAUAAUUGUUGUAGCGUAUUCUCUUGAAGGAGGUGUCCGAAUAAGCUGGUCAUUAGCUAGAUUUUCUAUUUUUCCUCAAAUUGUGACUGUUCUGCACCCACAUUGGUUAUCAAAAUAAAC
rnacentral:lncRNA from 1 species